GUCAUUUGGAACCCUGUUCCUCUUCCUGAGCUCGGCCAGCAGGGAGAGGCCGUGUGCGCGGCGUGCCCGCGGCCAUCGGCCCAGGCGGCUAACGUGGCGGCCCCCUCCUUCCCCCCUCCCCACAGGGGCGGCCGCCAUGUUUCCUGCCUACAAAAUGGCGGCAUGGUGCCCGGAGUCGUCGUUAACGAAAAAUAGGGGUCGGCUCGAAAGCUCUAGAACGCGCCCCCUCCCGCUCACUCCACGGCGCCCACGGCUCGGGGGCGGGGGGCGGGGGUCUCCCGGGAGCCGCGGGGGCCGCUGUCACCCCGGGCUCUACACUCCGCUCCCGGCCGGCGAAUUUUAAUAAGAGCCCGUCAUUCAUUUGCACGAGGAACCCGAAUGGCGUAAAGUGGCCCCAACCGCGCAUCUCUCGUCGCCCUUGUCAAGUUUAAUGAUGGCUAAUGAGGCGCUGGCAGGGGAGGGCUGUAGCAUCAGGGGGUGACUUGGGUCCCCAGUAGCAACACAUUCAGUGACCAGGGCUUUCCUAGAUGCCUCACAUAGGCCGGGGUGCUGGAGAGAGGAGGAAACGGUUUCAACACUCUCUUAAUAAAAAUAAUAGUAAUUAAUAAUAAUACACUUUCCAUGAGAGGGCAUGGAUGCUGGUUGCCUUAUUUUCCCACUGGCCAACCGGCCGGGGAAACUCAGUUCCCCCCCGUCGGUUUUCAGUGUAGAAGGGGAUCGUGCCCGUCUCAGUGCCCGGCUCUGUGCUGGCAUUUUGCCCUACAUGACCCUUAUUUUUAUGGUGAUCAUCAGGUAGGUGGUGUUACAGCUCUCUCUCUCUCUCUCUCUCUCUCUCAACAGAUAAAAUCAUUUAGACCCAGAGAGAUGAAAUGACUAACUCAAGGUCACACAGUGUCGAGGACACAGUGUCGAGGAUGGAAUCCAGACCUUCUGAUUUCCUUGUUGAACUACUCCAUCUUGUGGACACGUGAGUUCCACAAGAUUUCAACAUGAAUUCUGCCACCCAUUUUACAGAUGAAGUCACUGAGAUAUGGAGCAACUGACUAAAUAGUCACUGCCCCACCCAUGGAACCUCACAGAUGACUCUUCUCUCAAUCAAGUAUCGGACAUUGGUUAAGGGGUUUGACCAGGUUAGGAAGAAAUCCUAGAGCACUCUUCACAUGGGGCAAGCACCCAUUCAGGCUACUUCAAGCCAGUUGUAGAAACUAACCUCAGCAGCUUCAGGAAAUCAGGAUUCUUCCCAGCCUGGCUCUGAAGUUUCUCUUUUGAAAUUUAUCUUUGAAAUGUGGUCUUGUCACCACAACAAGGUAGUUUAAAAAUAAGACUUUGGAUCCAGCCUGUUGGAAUUUGAAUUCUGAUUCUGCCACUUACUAUGUAGUUGUGGAGUUUAUAAAGCAGUCAGAAUGACCAUCAAGGGACCCAGAAGAUGGCUCAGUGGCUUAAAGUGCAUACAUGGUGAGCACAACAUUGAGAGUUCAAAACUUGCGUGUACUAUGACGGUCUGAUUGCUCUGCCGUUGAAGGUCUCAGAGGAAGGGCCUGGACUUAGUCCAGGAAGCAGGAUGAGGUGGGAUGCUUGAGCCAAUUGGACAGUGUUGGGAUUCAAACCGUGGAAUUGUUGCUGCAGCCACGUGCAAGGCAAAUGCCGUUAAUCUCUAUACUGCCUCUGCGGCCCAAAGUGAGAGGACUCAAAGCCAGGGACCCCUGCACACAAGACAUGCAAUACUUCCGAGCCAUAUUCUUCUGCCCUUCCACCAAGUUUCAGUAUUGAACCUGCUUUUCAAAAUAAAAUUUUUUAUUCACAC